rnacentral:rRNA from 1 species
UGGGGAAUAUUGGACAAUGGGCGAAAGCCUGAUCCAGCCAUGCCGCGUGUGUGAAGUAGGUCUUCGGAUUGUAAAGCACUUUAAGUUGGGAGGAAGGGCAGUAAGCGAAUACCUUGCUGUUUUGACGUUACCGACAGAAUAAGCACCGGCUAACUCUGUGCCAGCAGCCGCGGUAAUACAGAGGGUGCAAGCGUUAAUCGGAAUUACUGGGCGUAAAGCGCGCGUAGGUGGUUCGUUAAGUUGAAUGUGAAAGCCCCGGGCUCAACCUGGGAACUGCAUCCAAAACUGGCGAGCUAGAGUAGGGCAGAGGGUGGUGGAAUUUCCUGUGUAGCGGUGAAAUGCGUAGAUAUAGGAAGGAACACCCGUGGCGAAGGCGACCACCUGGGCUCAUACUGACACUGAGGUGCGAAAGCGUGGGGAGCAAACAGG